rnacentral:rRNA from 1 species
UCCUCGGGACGCGAUGACAGUGCUGCUAGGCUGUCGUCAGCUAGCUCGUGUCGUGAGUUAGUUCGGUUAAGUCCGGCAACGAGCGCAACCCACAUCCCUAGUUGCCAGCAGUUCGGCUGGCACUCUAUGGAAACUGCCCGUGAUAAGCGGGAGGAAGGUGUGGAUGACGUCAAGUCCUCAUGGCUUACGGGUUGGGCUACACACGUGCUACAAUGGUAGUGACAAUGGGUUAAUCCCAAAAAGCUAUCUCAGUUCGGAUUGUCGUCUGCAACUCGACGGCAUGAAGUCGGAAUCGCUAGUAAUCGCGUAACAGCAUGACGCGGUGAAUACGUUCCCGGGCCUU